rnacentral:tRNA from 1 species
GACUGCGUAGCUCAGUUGGAAGAGCAUUGGGCUAGUAUUCCAAAGGUCGUAGGUUCGAAUCCUACCGUUGCCG